rnacentral:rRNA from 1 species
GAUGAACGCUGGCGGCGUGCCUAAUACAUGCAAGUCGAGCGAACAGACGAGGAGCUUGCUCCUUCGACGUUAGCGGCGGACGGGUGAGUAACACGUAGGUAACCUACCUAUAAGACUGGGAUAACUUCGGGAAACCGGAGCUAAUACCGGAUAAUAUUUCGAACCGCAUGGUUCGAUAGUGAAAGAUGGCUUUGCUAUCACUUAUAGAUGGACCUGCGCCGUAUUAGCUAGUUGGUAAGGUAACGGCUUACCAAGGCAACGAUACGUAGCCGACCUGAGAGGGGGGUCGGCCACCCUGGAACUGAGGACCGGUCCAGACUCCUACGGGAGGCAGCAGGAGGGAAUCUUCCGCAAUGGGCGAAAGCCUGACGGAGCAACGCCGCGGGAGUGAUGAAGGUCUUCGGAUCGUAAAACUCUGUUAUUAGGGAAGAACAAACGUGUAAGUAACUGUGCACGUCUUGACGGUACCUAAUCAGAAAGCCACGGCUAACUACGUG